rnacentral:rRNA from 1 species
CCUACGUGCGGCAGCAGUGGGGGAUAUUGCACAAUGGGGGGAACCCUGAUGCAGCGACGCCGCGUGGGUGAAGAAGCGCCUCGGCGCGUAAAGCCCUGUCAGCAGGGAAGAAAAUGACGGUACCUGAAGAAGAAGCCCCGGCUAACUACGUGCCAGCAGCCGCGGUAAUACGUAGGGGGCAAGCGUUAUCCGGAUUUACUGGGUGUAAAGGGUGCGUAGACGGAGAAGCAAGUUAGUUGUGAAAUCCCUCGGCUUAACUGAGGAACUGCAACUAAAACUACUUCCCUUGAGUACUGGAGAGGAAAGUGGAAUUCCUAGUGUAGCGGUGAAAUGCGUAGAUAUUAGGAGGAACACCAGUGGCGAAGGCGACUUUCUGGACAGUAACUGACGUUGAGGCACGAAAGUGUGGGGAGCAAACAGGAUUAGAUACCCUGGUAGUC